CAAAGUCACAGAGAGAACAGAAGAGCCGUAAUAGGACACCGAAGCUGGCGAAGACCAGAGACGGGGUGGAGUGGGAGUUGGGAGUAAGGGAUGGAGGGGUGGCUAGGAAGCUCGAAGAGUUGGCUGAACCGCAAGCCCCAACCCAUCCUAUUUUACGGUCCCUAGGGUGUGCUAGAACAACUGUAUAACCGGGAGGCGGUAGGAGCUCUGAUGCCAAGUUGGAAGCUCCUGGAGGGCAGGGCCAACUAAGGUCGUCUCCCCACGAGCCAGGGCCGGCAUCCCGGGGGCGACUGCAGGUUUGUCCAUCCAGCUUCCCCACCAAGGCGCCAACCAGACUUGCGACGGUAACAUCUGCCUCCCCACACCCGGCAGGUGCUUCAACCCGAGGAUGAACAGGGUGAUUAGAGGUCCAAGCAGACUAGCCGCCGCAGGGAAAGAUGGGCGGGGUGCCUCUCCAGCAGGCCUCGCUUGAAAUCGGGAUUACAGGUUAUGGUUGCGAGGCUGGCAGGCCCGAGGCAUGCGGUCUGGCGGUGGCCUCCACCGCCACCGUGGCACUUUGGGCUGGGGGCGGGGAGGAAAGUAUUCCUUGAGACCCGCCCACCUUACCCGGGGUCUACCAGACCCCGCCCCGGCCUUCCCCAACUAGCUCGCAGAAGCCGCGCUGCAGUCCAGUUAGUAGGGGGCGGUAACCGAGCUUUGCAGUCGGGGAGGUGACGGUAUUUAGUCAGGCUUGGCCCAGAAGGACCCAACCCUUAGCCUAGCGUCAGGCGCUGUAGCUUCCAGACCAGCCCCGAAGUUCAGGGCGGGGCCGCAAUGUCCGGACCGCCUUGGGGGAUCGGCUCUGCAUGCGUAAUGGAGCCCGGCGAUUCGAACUUCCGGAUGCGGUGCCGGCCUCUCCCUACGGAUCCGAACUCGGCCAAGCCCUUUCACUUAGGGUUUCUAAUCCGCGUACACGCCACUCAUGGAUGAAAUGGGCGAAGGCAGGUACACUGUCACCCUGUUCUCUAAAACUGCAAGAGGGACGGGAAACAGCUUCAGGCGAGGCCUCGCAACUGUCGCGAGAAUGAGAAAAGGAAGUCUAGGAAUUGGUACAGGAAAAGCCCGCAGAUUUUAAACAAGCAAAAGAAUGGGCGGGCCAGCUAUAGUUGAUAGUUAUGGAUAAUUCCUGUCCUUAGUCCUGCGGGCAUCUGGUGUCGACGUGGAGUAGACGUGAACUGUAAGAGAACCGCAGGAAGCCUUGCAAAAAGGGAGCUGGGCCAGAGUGACUUGAAAUUGCGGAGUUGACUAAUGGAGCCACGCAGGUUUCUGGCUCUGACUUAAAGUACUUCGAGGGCGGGGAUACCAAGCGGAAGCAGUCCGGAAUCUCUUACUGAAUUGUUACCGCCUUCUAAAAAUUGGAGCCAGUGUUUAAACAAACUUCACAGACCCAGAAAGUCUUCACUUUAUUGUAGCUGGAUGUUUACUUUCAGUCAGCUGUGCUCUAAACGUCUGGUGUUAGGAAUCGCGCCUAACUCAUCAACGUAUCUUGUGAAUUCAGCCCCGCGCCUGACGGCACAGCAAAUUCUCGGUAAAUAUUUGUGUAUUACAUGUGAAAGACUUCACCUGGAUGUGAAAAUCAAAGUUUAACCUGGAUUUUCUGAGUCGCCGAUGAUGAAGACUGGAUAGGCAGAGAAGGAGCGCCCUCUGGUGGGCUUGAGAUUGGUGACAAGAACAUUACUGAAUACGGAGCGGGUCCCUGGCGGAGCCGAGCGGCGCUGCAGCAGGUGAGGCGCGGAGCUGGCGGAGGCUCUUAAUGAAGCAUCCCGGCCUGCAGCUGACCGAGAGGCGAGCGCUGGGGAGGAAGGCGGUUCCAGGAGGUGUAGGGCUCGGGGGCUCACCUGGGCGUCCUACAGCGAGGAAACUUCCUGGGGGCUCGGUGGCCGCCUUGCCCAAACUGCCGGAGGGAAGAGAGUGGGAGAGAGAGGGGCUGGGCCCACACCGCCGGUUGGCGCGGCUCCUCCGCCCUCCCCUGGGACCUGCGGCAUCCUGAAGCCCCAGCUUCUCUGAGGGCUUCACUGUCUCCGGUUCGCUGUCAGCCUGUCUCCUGCCCCCAAUCCCCCUCCAGCCGCAUCAGAAAUGUAUUGUAUUCUCACCUAAUCCUGUUCAAUUAUAGCAUAAUAAAACACAUAAUA